AUACUUACCUGGUGCCGGGCUCCUGAUGAUCAUUGAGGUCGGGGCUCCGUGCCGAGGCUAACCAUUGCACUACGGUUGGCUGAAGCUCGCCACUACUCCAAACCGGAGCAGAUGGGGCAUAUAAUUUUUGGUAGUGGGGCUCGGCGUUCGCGCCAGCCCCUC
rnacentral:snRNA from 1 species